CCUACGGGUAGCAGCAGUGGGGAAUAUUGGGCAAUGGGCGCAAGCCUGACCCAGCAACGCCGCGUGAAGGAAGAAGGCUUUCGGGUUGUAAACUUCUUUUAAGCGGGAAGAGCAGAAGACGGUACCUCUUGAAUAAGCCACGGCUAACUACGUGCCAGCAGCUGCGGUCAUACGUAGGAGGCAAGCGUUGUCCGGAUUUACUGGGUUUAAAGGGCGUGUAGCCGGGCUGACAAGUCAGAUGUGAAAUCCGGGGGCUCAAACACCGAACUGAAUUUGAAACUGUUGGUCUUGUGCAUCGGAGAGGCAGGCGGAAUUGCUGGUGUAGCGGUGAAAUGCGUAGAUAUUAGGAGGAACACCAGUGGCGAAGGCGGCCUGCUGGACGACAACUGACGGUGAGGCGCGAAAGCGUGGGGAGCAAACAGGAUUAGAUACCCUAGUAGUC
rnacentral:rRNA from 1 species